AGUCAUAUGCUUGUCUCAAAGAUUAAGCCAUGCAUGUCUCAGUACAAGCCAAAUUAAGGUGAAACCGCGAAAGGCUCAUUAAAUCAGUUAUGGUUCCUUAGAUGGUACCCACAUUUACUUGGAUAACUGUGGUAAUUCUAGAGCUAAUACAUGCAAACAGAGUUCCGACCGGAGACGGAAGGAUACGCUUUUAUUAGAUCAAAACCAAACGGCAUUUGAUGCUGUUACUGCUCAGUGUAGCGAUAGUGAUGAUGUCGUAACUUUUGAUGAAUCUGAAUAAAUUUUUGCUGAUCGCAUGGUCUUGCACCGGCGACGCAUCUUUCAAAUGUCUGCCUUAUCAACUGUCGAUGGUAGGUUCUGUGCCUACCAUGGUUGUAACGGGUAACGGGGAAUCAGGGUUCGAUUCCGGAGAGGGAGCCUGAGAAACGGCUACCACAUCCAAGGAAGGCAGCAGGCGCGCAAAUUACCCACUCCCGGCACGGGGAGGUAGUGACGAAAAAUAACGAUACGGGACUCAUCCGAGGCCCCGUAAUCGGAAUGAGUACACU
rnacentral:rRNA from 1 species